rnacentral:tRNA from 3 species
GUUUUUAGAGUGUUUGGAAGCACGUUAGAAUUUCAUUUUAAAAGUAUAAAAUAAUUUAUUAAAAAUA